UGUGCCGCGUAUUCUCGAUUUUGCUCGGUGUUAGUGGACAUUCCCUCUUAAGAUCUACUGGAAUUAAAAGGGAGACUAAAUCUUUGAUAAUGGCAGCUAAAGAACAAGCAAUAAGAACUAAUGCAAUCAAAGCCAAGAUUGACAAGGAAGAAAGCAAAUGUAAAAUGUGUGGAAAAUUUGGUGAAACUAUUAAUCAUUUAUUAUGUGAAUGUAGUAAAAUGGCCCAGCGAAAAUACAAGAGACGCCAUCAUUGGCUUGGAAAACGUGUUCCCUGGGAGGUCUGUAGUAAACUUGGAUUCGAAACAAAAGAAAAAUGGUAUGAACAUCAGCCAGAAUCAGUCUAUGAAAAUGAUGAUUUUAAGUUUUAUGGGAUUUCAACAUCCAAACUGAUCACAUAAUAGAAGCAAGACGCCCAGAUUUAGUUAUCAUUAAUAAACGAGACAGAAUGUGUCAAAUAGUUGAUUUUGCUGUUCCAUAUGGUUCAAAAGUUAAUAAACGAGACAGAAUGUGUCAAAUAGUUGAUUUUGCUGUUCCAUAUGGUUCAAAAGUUAAUUUAAAAGAAACUGAAAACUUACAAAAUUAAAUAUCAAGAUUUUGAAAGAGAGCUUCAGAAAUUGUGGAACAUGCGUGUAAAAUUGAUUCCAAUAACAAUUGGAGCAUUAGGAUCAACACCCAAAAAGUUAGAAGAAAGAUUGAUGGCGUUGGGGUGACACACCCUCACAUCGAAAAAGGCAGAUAGCUGGGUCUCCCAAAAACCAUGUGCAUGAAUAUCGAGUCUUGCCUCCGGUGAAGUAUUUGACCCACGUUUCAAGUGUUCUCCUUUCAUGUCUUGAAGCACUGGCUCCCUUUCUAGUGGUUUAAGCAAGUCCUGUAUAUCUGGUAAAGUUCUCAUGAAAUAAGUCCACUGAUGUUUCAGUCCAAAUGUGUAAGCCGCAUACGAUACCUGUGGUUGCGUCACAGAAUUAAUGAGAAAGAAUGCAUUGGCUCAAUAUCUCUGAAACAAGGAAUACUACAAGGUGACUCAUUCUGCGUCAGACUAUUUACUUUUUGCCUCAACCCAAUAGCAUGAUGGCUGAGAAGUACCGAAGGUUAUAGCAACUCGCAUGACAAACAUGAAAAGCUAAUACACCUACUAUACGUGGAUGACUUGAAAACUUAUUACAAGUCUGCAAAGAAAGCUGCUCUUAUAACAAGGACAUCAAAAGACAUAACCUGGGGGUUAGACAAGUGCGCUACAGUAGACAUCGUACGAGGAAAAUGCGUAGAAAGUGCAAAUUCUUGACUCAGAGGUGCUUAAGGUACUAAACGCCAAUGACCACUACAAAUUCCUCGGAAAAUACGAAAAUUCGAUACAGCUAGAGGAACAAGUCCGUGAUGAGGCAAGUAAGGAAUACCUGAAACAUCUCUAUCCCAAGAAAAGUCCAUGCAACCAAAGUCUUUGCAUUGCCCUCACUCCAUUAUCACAUGUGGACAAGUGACUGGACUAUAAACCAACUGAAGGAAAUUUACAGACGUACCAGAGAAAUCAUAGGAAAAGAAGGAGGGAUGCACUACAAUGAGUCAGUAAAGCUACUGUACCUACCGGAGGAAGAUGGAGGAAGCGGSCUUAGAAGCGCUGAAGACACCUACAAGGUCACAACGAUAAAGAUGGCAAACUACCUGAACAACUCCACUGACAGUAGAAUUAAGGUAUCAGGAGGGGUUCACGACCACUACUCACGCAAACGCAAAUUACGCGCCGGCUUUGUAAAAUACUUCAAUAAAAGUAUAUAUUUUUAAGAAGCUAAAUAAAUGUAGUUUUUGGAAAUUAUUUCGAAAUUUUCAUAACUUAAAACGCCAUAAAGAUAUUCCGCCUAAAGCGUAUUUUGACCGGACCUUGUUUGAAUUGCCUCAAAAUUGUCAGGAUUGCCGUCUUAGCAAUGAAAACCACGUUAACACUUUCCUUAUACAUUAAACUUCAAACGGUGUCGGCGAUUUUUCAUCACUGCUUUAGAUCAGCCGCUACAGAGUCCCAAUUAUUGAUCAUUGAAUUUACCGUGUAUCAGUGUACAAACUGGGCAAUAUCUAAACAACGAAAGCGAAAAUCAAAAAUCGCCGACACCGUUUUUUAGUUCCAGAUUGGAUUUCUAUUCUUGCGAAUUUUGAAAACAAAAUCUUUUAUUGCGGAAAAGUUAGAGCGCUUCAAAUGUACGAUUUUUCUCGUUUCAAAAACGCCAGAUAAACGUGUCUAUUCAUUUGGGCAAGAAAACCACAGGGGUGUUUACACAACACCUCAGAUCUGUCAGCAUCAUGUCAUUAUGCCUGGCUAUUCUCAGGAUAUGUUCCUGGCUUUGUAUAGUAAUGUGAGAGCUUUACAAUCAUUCUCGGCAAAGGUCAAGAAAGUACCUUCGAUUCUAUAUUACAUAUUAUUUGUGUUAUAACGAGUCUAUAACCAUGCCCAAAAGAAGAAGGCAACAAUCAGCGAACGGGGGAAGCGAGCUCGGAACAAGUCCCCGACAAGUUGUUAUAGAGCAGAUGAGAGCACAUGGGUGAGUAGCUAAGCGUAAUUUACCCGAAUUCUUUGGUAUAUAUAGCUUUCAUCAAUACCGUGAAAAAAAGUAAUUUUGGUAACACUUUGUAGUCCAACGUCAGCAUUACAAAUUCUUCUUUAUAUUUAGAUUUGGCGGCGAAGUUUUUGCCGAAAACUUGGAGGCAAGUACCUACCAACGCAAAAGACGCGGGAAACCAGCAAGGUUGAACCGGUAUUUUCACUAUUGCUCUUGGGCACACGCAUUGAUGGAAAAGAAUAUUGGCCCAGCAGGAGCAGAAUAUACGUUUCCGUCGAGUGUCUUGGCAUUUAUACGAGAUCUUGUACCAGGAAACGUAAAGGGUGAAUUUCGCGAGGUAUGU